rnacentral:lncRNA from 1 species
GAAAAUUGUAUGACCGAUCAAGCGUACCAACUUAAAAACAAUGAUAGUUUGUGUAAUGUCACCGAUAGAACACCUUUUGGCGAAGAUAUAUGUUAUCUGUGGUUAAAUUAUUUUCUCUAAUCUAUGUCAUGCUUACCGCUAAUCCGCUUGUUCGCGAAAAAAUGGCAGAUCCGUUUUUGUUUUCUAUAAGCUCGUCAUUAAUUACGUGAUCUACAAUUAGAAUUAUUUAAAUAUCUGCUUUAUUUUAAUCGGCUUAAACAAACGACAGGCAAUUCGGCGCCGACGCCGGUCAUGUGCCGUCCAUAUUCGCCAUUUUGUCAUUUGUCCUUUAAGUAAGAAAAUGCAAACAAAACAUUAUUUGCCCUAAACACGCGUUACUCUCAAAUAAUAUUACCGAAUGCCGACAAAGUGAUCUUGUUUUAUCAAACUGAACUCCGAACUGCAAUUGCAAUGUAAUUUUCCGAUAGCGAAAGUGAGGUUAUGAAAUUGACAUGACAUUUAGUGAAUGCAAUGCAAUGGACAUGUGUUUUGUUGUGUUUCUCAUCAAGAUAAUAGAAGAAUCUAGUGCUCAUACUCAUGAUCUAAUGAGCAAACAGCCCAUGCAAAGGAUGUCUUAACGGGCCAUGUCUCCACUGAUAAAAUUAUUAAGUUACCUACUUCAACGCAGCUUUUCAAGAAAGUUUCAACAUCUAAUUGGAAUUUCUCUGGAAAGUUUACAAUGCCCGAUAUUUCUACACAUCUGCCACAAAUUUAUGGAAAUCAAUAUUUUUAGAAACUGAACAUACCUUGGUUAAACGUAUAUGAAAUGGAUUAUCAUCAUUGAAGAACAUCAACCAGCUGUCGGCAACAUGCAGGUUGACUGAGGAAUCCCCAGUGCGUGGUCACGGACCGUUCCCCAUAUAUCUACUGACUUCAUAUAAAUGAAAGUGUACUGAGGACUCACUAAUCUGCACUACUAGUAACAAAGUAAUCCGACAAUCAGACUGGACCCGGUCAUGUUAGAUACCAGAGGAAGACGAAAAUAUAAUUGAUUCUGUACUGAUGCAUGACUUCGCUCGGAACGCGGCAAGAAUGAACAAUGGAAGAAAAUACUACAGACUUGUUUAUUAACGAUAAAGUUAUUUUAGUUUUUAUGAAAUAGCGAUUGAAUAAAAAUAUUA